CACAGUAUGUAUACCUAGACGGCGGAGAAGCCACAAAACCCUCGGCCAACUUUUCUCUUUCACGCGCAGGCUUUGAUGUCGCUCACUUCUUCUGGGCAACUCUUCUAGUAAUUUUCUCGCCUCACAAUUUGAUGCAUAAAAAGUAUGCAGGAAUGUCAAGCGUCGCAGUCGUUUGGUUUCACUUUCAGCUUUGAAUUCAGUGAACAGGUGCACAGUUUAUUUAAUUCUCUUCCGAUGAUUAUAUAUUGUUUUGGGAUUAACGUCUCUUCUUGCUGUUUAAGAUUGUGAUUGCAAAUCCCCUGCUACAUUUAUCUUACUUCAUGCCUUUCGUUUUCUCUGUUUUAUCUAUCUAAACAUUAUCAAUGAUAAUUUGGAAUCAGAAUAACGUCUCAUCUUCGUCUCGGAAUUGGGUACGUGUUUUGCUGACGCACUGAUGAACAAUUUUCAAGGAUAACCAUAGUUAAUGAUGCCCAAGAAUAUGGAUAUUGAUGGGGAUGAUGCUGAUGGCCCGCAAAUACUUGAACGUGUGUAUCAUCUCUUGAGCGACAGAAAGAAAGAUUGUGGGACUCACCAAAAGACGCAAUGGGAGAAGAAGCACUUGUUGAGCUUGCGAGGGCCAAGUGUUUGCAGAGAGAAUGAAAGCCAGCAGCGCUGAAAACAGAUCAUCUGAUUGUUUCAUUUCCGGGUGUCUAUCCCUGGGCUGAUUGAUAGUGUGUUUGAGGAUGCCUACGUGAUGGCAAUGGACAGAUAUAAUAAUGCAACUGGGAGGAAAGUAUCCAUUUCUUGGACGAAGAAGAAUGUUGGCUAGGUUGGCGGAACCUGGAUCAUAUUAGACCUGUAACAUGUAGGCUGGGGGUUGCUGGGUGCUGAUUUACCUUCUUCUGAUAGUUUUUUAUUUUUUUAUUUGGGUGUUUAUAUCGACAAUUUAUUGUGACGAAUCAGGUCGAAUUAUUCUGCA